rnacentral:rRNA from 1 species
AGUGAACGCUGGCGGUAGGCCUAACACAUGCAAGUCGAACGGCAGCACAGCAAGAGCUUGCUCUUACGGGUGGCGAGUGGCGGACGGGUGAGGAAUACAUCGGAAUCUACUUUUUCGUGGGGGAUAACGUAGGGAAACUUACGCUACUACCGCAUACGACCUACGGGUGAAAGCAGGGGAUCUUCGGACCUUGCGCGAUUGAAUGAGCCGAUGUCGGAUUAGCUAGUUGGCGGGGUAAAGGCCCACCAAGGCGACGAUCCGUAGCUGGUCUGAGAGGAUGAUCAGCCACACUGGAACUGAGACACGGUCCAGACUCCUACGGGAGGCAGCAGUGGGGAAUAUUGGACAAUGGGCGCAAGCCUGAUCCAGCCAUACCGCGUGGGUGAAGAAGGCCUUCGGGUUGUAAAGCCCUUUUGUUGGGAAAGAAAAGCAGCAGGUUAAUACCCCGCUGUUCUGACGGUACCCAAAGAAUAAGCACCGGCUAACUUCGUG